AAAUGUGGGAGGAAAGCCCAAAGUGAUGCAGGUCUCAGACGUUUACCACUUCGGUGCAUGAUAAAGAGAAGACAAGUACCUGAAAACCUCAUAAUUCAUCCCUAAGGUGUUAAUUAGAUAAAACAAACUUCGAGCUAAAGGUGUUACAGAAGGGAGAAAGAGAUUCUGCACAUUGAUCUGGAUCAGGCUUCUACUGUGUCAUCAUGAUUCAUUAUCCCGGACUUGCUUAUGCAGAAAGAAAUCUUUUGUUUCCUAAUUCUGUUUGUACACAGGGAAGAUGAGCAAGAGUGACUGCUGACCAUUCGAUCCCAUAAGUUGCCUCUUACAUACAACCAGCAUAGGUUGUUUGGGACGAAUGCUAACCCCGGAAUCCCCACGGAGCUUAUCACAUGUAUCAUUCUAUAUAUUUUAUAACAAUCAACUGGCAGUAUCAAAGAAAAGAUAAGUGUCACGCCCUACUUCUAUCCAGCUGUUACUGACGAUGCAAAACGGGGCUCAACAGGCAAGUUUCCUAUUAAUCAACUAGAUUUUUCAAUAGA